rnacentral:rRNA from 1 species
UACGGAAGGGGGCUAGCGUUGUUCGGAAUCACUGGGCGUAAAGCGCACGUAGGCGGAUUGUUAAGUCGGGGGUGAAAUCCUGAGGCUCAACCUCAGAACUGCCUUCGAUACUGGCAAUCUCGAGUCCGGAAGAGGUUGGUGGAACAGCUAGUGUAGAGGUGAAAUUCGUAGAUAUUAGCUAGAACACCAGUGGCGAAGGCGGCCAACUGGUCCGGUACUGACGCUGAAGGUGCGAAAGCGUGGGGAGCAAACAGG